UAAACAAAGCAGUGCCGUUCGUCCUAAUGUUUGACGAAAGCCUCAACCAAUCCUUAAAAAAAAACAGAUGGACAUUCAUAUUCAUUUUGGAAGAUGGUUGUGACAGGUCAAGAUAUUUUGGCUCCGAAUUCCUGGGACACACAAGAGCUGAUGACCUGCUGCAGCAUAUCAAAGAAUGUGUUGCACAACUGAACAUGAGGCAGCUUCUGUCAAUUGGAAUGGAUGGCCCCAAUGUAAAUUUUAAGCUCUUAGAUCUCCUUCAAAAGGAGCAUGCUGAGCUGCAUGGAGGCACUCAAGUCAUAAUGUUUGGGAGCUGUGGACUUCAUACCCUCCACAAUGCCAUGAAGGCAGGCUUUACAGCCUGGCAACUUGAAAAACUCCUGCGAGCAAUGCAUUUUCUGUUCUACAAUGUCCCUGCCCGGAAAGAGGACUUCACGAACCUCACCAGGUCCUCUUGCUUUCCCCUCUCUUUCUGCGGCCAUAGAUGGGUGGAAAAUGUUUGCAGAGAGAGCAAUCAAGGUUUGGCCCAUGCUUCAAAAGUUUGUGGAUGCUGCAGAAGAUAAGAGGGUCCAAAAAACCAGCACGGCCUCAUAUGAUGCCAUCUUGGCAGCGCGAGGGGAUCCUCUCGUCAUCACAAAGCUGGAAUUCUUCCUUGCAAUUGCAAGAAGUUUUAACCCCUUUUUACAGAGAUACCAAAUAGAUGAGCCAGUGUUGCCUUUUUUGGUAAAAGACCUAACUAAGCUCCUGAUGGUAAUUAUCACUGUAAAGAUUUUGAUUAAUUAAUUUGAAUGAUUAACCUAUAUUAAUUGAUAGGAAUGGCUUGGUUUUUAACUGCUUGUUGUCAUUAUUAGAGUUUACUGCGGAGGUUCAUCAAAAGGGAACUCCUACAGGACCGAAUCCCCCUGCAGCUGACCAAAAUGGACAUCUCUGAGGAUAAGAACUGGGUCUCCCUUAAAACUCUAGAUAUAGGCUUAGGUGCUGAAUCUGCCAUCAAGGUAAUUUUGAUGUAGUUUAUAAUAAAUCACUCGCUGUAAAUCACUCGCUGCUCUUGGCUGAAUAACUUUUGUAGCUUUAAUAAGAAUCAGCAUAUAUUUAAUACAUACAGUGAAAACUAAGAAGUGUUUAUUUUUUAUGUUUGAUUAUUCAGUUUCUGUUGUUAAAUAACUCUAAUGUAGGAUAACCUCAAUCCCUAAGCCCUGUGGUUUACACUGAUGUUAAAAUAACACUUCUUAUGGUACAGUUAAACACUGGAGCAAAAAGAAUGUGAAACAAGUAAGUUAAAUAUAUUUUAAAGGUAAUUUAAGUUUAUUUUUCACACUUUAAGCAUUAUCUAUUGCAAUGGUUCCCAACCUCGUUCUUGGAGGCCCCCCAACACUGCACAUUUUGCAUCUCUCCUUUGUCUGACACACCUAUUUCAGGUCUUGGAGUCUCUACUUAAUGAGCUGAUGAUCUGAAUCAGGUGUGUUUGAUUAAGGAGACAUGGAAAACCUGCAGUGUUGGGGGGCCUCCAGGAACGUGGGAAUAUGGCAUUAUUUAAUAAGUUAGCGCAUAUCGCACUUUUCUUCAAUAUCGUGCAGCCCUACUUUCUAAGCAUUGAUGUGCAAACAUUUCCUUUCUAAGCAUUGACGUGAAUGUUUAAUAGGCACUUAAUGUUUAAUAGGCACUUCUGGGUGUUGAAAUUAACACAUAUUUCUGUCUUUAUCUUUCGAUGCCGUCUGACCAUUCUCAGUCCUUGCAUGAGCUCACAGAAAGAAGUAAAUGAACAUGAAGGCUUUUAGUCUGCUCACAAACUUCUUCAAAGUUUAUUAUUACAUUCACACAUUAUAUAGUUGCAUUGCAAGGGGUGGUGUAGUGGUUUAUACAAUAAGCAUUGUACACUACAUCAUAUAGGAAUGUCUAGCAAACAAUGGGUUUUCCUUCCUGCUGCCUCUAGAGCCCAUAGAAUGUAGAUUACAUCAGUAUGUUAUAUAGAAUGGAAGUAUGGCCAGGAAGUUCUGAACAUAUUAGUUAUACACUUGGCCAAGGAUACCUCAACUCUGAGCAGAAGGGCUGACCUAACUCAAUAACCUUCGGGCCUAUAGCCCCCGUCCUGAUCUGAACAUCUGAACUCAUGAGGAAAUAUACAUGUGGGCGCAUGUGUGUAUAGAUUGAGAUAGAAAGAGGUAAGACAGAGUAGAGAGAGAGAGAGCACAGAAAGGCAGGAGGAUUUGAAGAGAGGCAAAAUCACAGAAACAUCUGGCAGAGAGCAUAAUAUAAUCUAAAACUGGGCAAACCAGGAAACAAGAUAGGGGAAUUCUCUGUUCUGAACUUCAGGAGAGAAUGUUUGCAGUGCCUUGUUAAGGUUGUUAAAAAACUGCAGGACAAAUGCCCCUUAAAAUUCCCUGUGGUUAGGCAGAUUGCCUGUUUGGAUCCUGCAAGGAUGAACAGGGACCCUUAGUGGUGCAUCACUCAAAUGAAGAAUUUAGUGCAGACAUUCAUCCAGGGAAAGCAGCUGGCACGGGCUAUUGCAGCUGGUAAGAAAAUAUUGUAUAGGCACAGUAGAAGUGGAUAGGUUAUUUAAGUUGAUUAAGGUCUUGUGCUAGGAAUCUCAUUUGUGGUUUGUGCCUUUUUACUCUGAGAAAUGUGAAAAUGUCUUGUUUUUUUAAAAUGCCAAAUUAAAGUAUUAAGAUCUGGAAAAAAUCUAUGCACUCAUAGCUCUCUAUAUAGAUACUGUUAUGUGUAUCUGUGGUGUAUGUACUUUGUCAAAUGGAUGAAGUAGUUGACUGGAAUGUAUUAAUGACAUGAAUAUAUCUUAAUUUUCCUUUCAAUAUUGUAGGUGAUGUCAUCAUUCAGCAGUUCACAUCGUUUCUCUCUGUUGAGGGCAGAGAAGAAGAAUUUGUGUCUUUUCAACCCCUGAGUCAGCGUCUGGAUGUCUUUCUCCACUCCAAACUCUGCACGUCCCACCUUGACCUGCUAAAAUUCUGCCAAAGUGUUCUCCUCCUGUACCAUGGACAAGCCACAGUGGAGAGAGGCUUCUCAGUGAACAAGGAGGUAGAAACGUGCAACCUGCUUGACGAAUCUCUCGAAGCCCUCAGAUUAAUCUGCGAUAAGGUAAUUGGCUGUGGUGGCACUCUCAAAGUUCCUCUUACCAAGGAGCUCCUGGCCUCUGCUGCUUCAGCGAGGUCACAUUACAGGCUAUACCUGGAAAAUGAAUGAAAAAAGAAGUCGAGUGCCACACAAGAGCUAAAGAGGAAAGCAGCAGAGAAAGAACUGGAGGAUCUCCGGAACCAGCGGCAGGUACUCAAUGUUGUGUGCGAUUCACUUGAAGUUGAUGCCGACAAGUUUGCAGAGAUUGCAGAGGGAAAGACAGGAACAAAGAUGGCUGAGCUCAUUACAAAAUCCAACUCUCUUCGAAGAAGAUACAAGGACAAAAAAGCUGAACUGCUCCAAGUGGACAAAUUGAUAGAAGAAAAGGCCACACAGUUGAGGCACUUGUGAUCCUGUUGACUAACUGUAAUUUUACCAAGCAACUUUGACUUUUGUUAGUUCCCUUGGUUAUAUAUCCAGCAUUUCAAAGGGGGAUUUAAGUUGUAGCCUAAAGUGGAGGUUGUAUAGGGAAGUGUGUUUGCAUGGAACCUAUUGGUGUAAGGCACAUAGUUAACGAGAUAUUCUGCACUUUAUUAAUAAGGCACUUUAUUCUACUAAGGGCCAAAUGAGUAGACAUGCCAAUGACUGGUCAACAUAGGCCCAAUGUUAAAGGCAGUGAAAUCUGUCACAUACUUACAUAAUUACAGUGUAAAGUUGCACUUUAUUAUUAUCUGGUUGCUUACUCUUUUUAUUAUUCAAGGCCCAAAUUGAACCACUUGUAAAUUUGGUUCAAAUUUUGAUACAUAGCUCUUCAUUCAAAUGUCCAACAUUGUUAUGCAAUUGUUACUUUUCGACAUUGAUUAAAAACUAUGGACAAAGGCUCAUUGUGACAUCUUGAUUAAUCCCUCUGCUUUACUUAAAUGUGUC
rnacentral:lncRNA from 1 species